AAAAGCUCAAAUUUGAAAUCUGGCUCUUUCAGAGUCCGAGUUGUAAUUUGAAGAAGGUAUCUUUGGGUCUGGCUCUUGUCUAUGUUUCUUGGAACAGAACGUCACAGAGGGUGAGAAUCCCGUGCGAUGAGAUGAUCCAGGCCUAUGUAAAGUUCCUUCGAAGAGUCGAGUUGUUUGGGAAUGCAGCUCUAAGUGGGUGGUAAAUUCCAUCUAAAGCUAAAUAUUGGCGAGAGACCGAUAGCGAACAAGUACAGUGAUGGAAAGAUGAAAAGAACUUUGAAAAGAGAGUGAAAAAGUACGUGAAAUUGUUGAAAGGGAAGGGCUUGAGAUCAGACUUGGUAUUUUGUAUGUUACUUCUUCGGGGGUGGCCUCUACAGUUUAUCGGGCCAGCAUCAGUUUGGGCGGUAGGAGAAUUGCGUUGGAAUGUGGCACGGCUUCGGUUGUGUGUUAUAGCCUUCGUCGAUACUGCCAGCCUAGACUGAGGACUGCGGUUUAUACCUAGGAUGUUGGCAUAAUGAUCUUAAGUCGCCCGUCUUGAAACACGGACCA
rnacentral:rRNA from 1 species